UCCCAGAUGGCUCAGUGGGAAAGAAUCUGUCUGCAAUGCAGGAGACAUGGGUUCAGUCUCCCAUCUGGGAA
rfam:Ovis aries breed Texel chromosome 2, whole genome shotgun sequence.